rnacentral:rRNA from 1 species
GACGAACGCUGGCGGCGUGCUUAACACAUGCAAGUCGAGCGGUAAGGCCCUUUCGGGGGUACACGAGCGGCGAACGGGUGAGUAACACGUGGGUGACCUGCCCUCAGCUCUGGGAUAAGCCUGGGAAACCGGGUCUAAUACUGGAUAUGACUCCAUGACGCAUGUUGUGGGGUGGAAAGCCUUGUGCGGCUGAGGAUGGGCCCGCGGCCUAUCAGCUUGUUGGUGGGGGAUGGCCUACCAAGGCGACGACGGGUAGCCGGCCUGAGAGGGCGACCGGCCACACUGGGACUGAGACACGGCCCAGACUCCUACGGGAGGCAGCAGUGGGGAAUCUUGCGCAAUGGGCGAAAGCCUGACGCAGCGACGCCGCGUGAGGGAUGGCGGCCU